rnacentral:lncRNA from 1 species
UAUUUUUGAUGUUUCAAAAGAUUCUCAACAUCCCUAGUUUGUCUCUCUGCCUCCUCCUUUCAGAAUAAAUAAGAUGUGAGCUCCCAAUUCUUCCUGCAUACAUGCCUUUGUUCCACAACCCUAGACUCUACCCCUCUGAAAUUGUAAGCCAAAUUAAAUGUUUUCUUUUAUAAGUUUAUAAGUCAGGGUGUUUUGUUAAAAUAAUAGAAAAGUAACUAAGACACUUACCUUACUUAGGUUCACCUGGCAGUAAGAUUUCUAUGACUUACUUUGUCAAAUAAUUAAACUUCUUGGGCUGAGGAUAGGUCUCAGGUCUCAUAGUACCCAGUAGAAUAGAGUCAGAGUGAAUGAGGUGAAGUCUUUAUUACCUGCUAAGAAACAUGUACAGUAGAGAUACUUUUCAGUACUUUAAAAUGAAACAGCUUUCUAGUACUGAUUUGCCUGGAUCGAUUUUCUCCUUUAGAAAUUAACAGUUUGUUUUAAGAUACUUGAGGUUCAGGACCGAAUAUAAACUUCUCUUGUUCCACAACCUGCUUUUGCUUAUUACCACACACCCUCUCUCUCUCUGCUAAUCAACCUAGGUCAGCAUUAUGUGUGGUGAGGCUUGGUUAGCUCCUUAAACAUUUUAAAAGACCUGUUCCCCAGGUAAAGUAGCAGCUGAGGUCCUUGGCUUUGACGUGCCUUGCAAACGCUGAAACUUUUACUGUAAUACUGUAUCACAGCCCAGUGUGGCGUAGAGUACAGUUUGAUUUAGAAUGUAUAAGUUUGAAGACAAUAUUUAUGGAUGCUGAGUUAUUAACCUUUUGAAGUCUUGAGCUGACACUGAGGAAUUUUUAGGCUUACAUUUUAAGUUGAUGUUUGGAGUCUUAUGGGGGACAUAGCUGCUGCAUUUUACCCCCUUUGUGGGGGUGGAGCAUCUGAUACUGAUUUUUGAGAGAUUUGAAUUUCAGCUUGGUUAUAUACAUAUGAAUCUGUUAGCAUUCAGAAUAUAGUCUCGUUAGAUUGUUUUUCCACUGGUUUGAAACAUGGCCUCCACUUUUACUAAAGUUAUCAUAGAUGUGUAUUACCAAUUGCCUUAGGAUGGGGCUCCUAGAGAUUUUGCUUAGCUUUGUCCUAAAAAAUUAGCAGAAGCUAGGUAAUAACAUAUUACUCGCCCAACUUUUUGAAUUUUUGACAGACUUAAACCUUUAUUAAAGGCCAGGUGUUACGGUGCAUGCCUGUGGUCCCAACAGAGGUAGAAGGAUCUCUGUGACAGAGCUCAAGGUUGGUCUGGUCUUCAUAGCCAGUUCCAGGACAGCCAGGGCUACAGAGCGAGAAACACCGGAAACAAGUAACAGCCUCACUCGUGACCACAGCAGUUGUGCUCAGUGCCACCUCCUUACUGAGGUUUAUGAGGAUGCUUGUGCUCACUAGCAGGGCUGUUGAUCUUCGAAGAAUUUUAGUAUAGAAAGCCAAGGCACUGGGCCAAGUUUUUCAAACUCAUAAUUCUAGAAAAUCUACUUGUUUGUUAAGUUCAGUUGAGGUGUUUUCUUUGAAAGGAUGAAUGUUUUUCAUUCAAGUUUGAAAAAAACAUAUUGCCCAAAUAACUUGAGUCUAAAUAACUAGUUUAUGUCAGUUGACUUUUUUCCCUCAAGUUAACAAUGAUUUUCAU